UACGAAGGGGGCGAGCGUUGUUCGGAAUUACUGGGCGUAAAGGGCGCGUAGGCGGCGACUCAAGUUAGAUGUGAAAGUCCUGGGCUUAACCUGGGGACUGCAUUUGAUACUGGGUUGCUUGAAUUCGGGAGAGGAUAGCGGAAUUCCCAGUGUAGAGGUGAAAUUCGUAGAUAUUGGGAAGAACACCGGUGGCGAAGGCGGCUAUCUGGACCGACAUUGACGCUGAGGCGCGAAAGCGUGGGGAGCGAACAGG
rnacentral:rRNA from 1 species